GAGUUUGAUCGUGGCUCAGAUUGAACGCUGGCGGCAGGCCUAACACAUGCCAAGUCGAGCGGAUGACGGGAGCUUGCUCCUUGAUUCAGCGGCGGACGGGUGAGUAAUGCCUAGGAAUCUGCCUGGUAGUGGGGGACAACGUUUCGAAAGGAACGCUAAUACCGCAUACGUCCUACGGGAGAAAGCAGGGGACCUUCGGGCCUUGCGCUAUCAGAUGAGCCUAGGUCGGAUUAGCUAGUUGGUGGGGUAAUGGCUCACCAAGGCGACGAUCCGUAACUGGUCUGAGAGGAUGAUCAGUCACACUGGAACUGAGACACGGUCCAGACUCCUACGGGAGGCAGCAGUGGGGAAUAUUGGACAAUGGGCGAAAGCCUGAUCCAGCCAUGCCGCGUGUGUGAAGAAGGUCUUCGGAUUGUAAAGCACUUUAAGUUGGGAGGAAGGGCAGUAAGUUAAUACCUUGCUGUUUUUGACGUUACCGACAGAAUAAGCACCGGCUAACUCUGUGCCAGCCGCCGACGG
rnacentral:rRNA from 1 species